AGAAAACUGAAAGCCUGAGGAUCCUGAAGAAGGUGUCGCUUACGCCUCCGUCAGCUACACCAAGAAUUGUAACAGCAAAGUCAAGGCUGAUGAUGACGAUGAAGGUGAAG